GACGAACGCUGGCGGCGUGCUUAACACAUGCAAGUCGAACGGGACCUUCGGGUCUAUUUGCGCACGGCUGCGUAACACGGGGUGACCUGCCCGUGGGUUCGGUGUACCUGCCCUUGGGGGGUGCUAAGGCCGCUUGGGGUCUUCGCGGCAAGGAGUUAUCGCUGUUGGGUGGGGCCUGGUUGGAUUCGGUGGUUGGUAGGGUAAUAGCGUACCAAGGGGUCGUUGCUUAGCUGGUGUGAGAGGAUGACUAGCCACACUGGGAAUGCGACGCGGGCCAGAAUGGUACGGGAGGGAGCAGUGGGGAAUAUUAGAGACUGGACGAAAGUCUGACCAAGCCACGCGGGGUGAGUGAUGAAGGCCGUAGGGUUGUAAAGCUCUCUUAACCGGGACGAUAAUGACAGUAACGGGAGAAGAAGCUCCGGCUAACUACGUG
rnacentral:rRNA from 1 species